rnacentral:rRNA from 1 species
CGGACGGGUGAGUAACGCGUGAGUAACCUGCCUUACACAAGGGGAUAGCCGUUGGAAACGACGAAUAAUACCCUAUGACAUAAACUCCUCGCAUGAGGAGCUUAUCAAAGAUUUAUCGGUGUAAGAUGGACUCGCGUCUUAUUAGCUAGUUGGUGAGGUAACGGCCCACCAAGGCGACGAUCAGUAGCCGGCUUGAGAGAGUGUACGGCCACAUUGGGACUGAGACACGGCCCAGACUCCUACGGGAGGCAGCAGGC